ACCUAACUGGCUCAGUUAGGAGAGCAUGAGACUCUUGAUCUUGAGGUUGUGAAUUUGAGCCCCACAUUGGGUG
rnacentral:tRNA from 1 species